rnacentral:lncRNA from 1 species
CUCUUCUCAAAAAAAAAAUCCACACGUACUCUGAAACUACAAGUCCAAUCGACCCCAAAAUUUGCAGUCAGCAGGGCAUACAUGUACUAAAGGUUCAUAAAACAACGUGGUGCAGAUAUCUCUCAAGACUUUUCCUAGAGAAAAAAAAUGGCAAUGCCGUAAAAAUUGCUUGCUAGGUCCGUAAAUCUCAGUGACAUCCUACAAUAAAAUGUCCGC